rnacentral:rRNA from 1 species
CCUACGGGAGGCAGCAGUGGGGAAUUUUGGACAAUGGGGGCAACCCUGAUCCAGCAAUGCCGCGUGAGUGAAGAAGGCCUUCGGGUUGUAAAGCUCUUUUGUCAGGGAAGAAAAGGGUCUGGCUAAUAUCUAGGCCUCAUGACGGUACCUGAAGAAUAAGCACCGGCUAACUACGUGCCAGCAGCCGCGGUAAUACGUAGGGUGCAAGCGUUAAUCGGAAUUACUGGGCGUAAAGCGUGCGCAGGCGGUUUUGUAAGACUGUCGUGAAAUCCCCGGGNUCAACCUGGGAAUGGCG